AUUGAACGCUGGCGGCAUGCCUUACACAUGCAAGUCGAACGGCAGCACGGGAGCAAUCCUGGUGGCGAGUGGCGAACGGGUGAGUAAUAUAUCGGAACGUGCCCAGUCGUGGGGGAUAACGUAGCGAAAGCUACGCUAAUACCGCAUACGAUCUAUGGAUGAAAGCGGGGGAUCGCAAGACCUCGCGCGAUUGGAGCGGCCGAUAUCAGAUUAGGUAGUUGGUGGGGUAAAAGCCUACCAAGCCUUCGAUCUGUAGCUGGUCUGAGAGGACGACCAGCCACACUGGAACUGAGACACGGUCCAGACUCCUACGGGAGGCAGCAGUGGGGAAUUUUGGACAAUGGGCGCAAGCCUGAUCCAGCAAUGCCGCGUGCAGGAUGAAGGCCUCGGUUGUAACUAGCUUUGUACGGACGAAACGGACUCUUUCUAAUAAAGGAGCUAAUGACGGUACCGUAAGAAUAAG
rnacentral:rRNA from 1 species